AAAUAAUGCUUUAAAAUUUGUUUAUCUAGUAUCGAAUAGACAUGUUCAUAUUCAAAAUUAAACGUAUUGUAGGAUGUAAGCAUCUGAUUUUAACCACAUAGCAAUCUCAACUAAGCAAAGUAAAUAAAACUAAACCCACAUCUAAGCACAUCAGAGAAAAACUGAAGAAACGUGAAUCAAAAGAAAAUGUGAGAGAAGACACCUCUGUAUUUGUAGGCUCUCCCCACAUCUUGUGAGUCACUAAAGAAAAACCAGUUGUUCCAAUUGUUUUAACAAAACCAGGAACUGAGAUUCUAAAUUUACAUACUCUCAUACCAUUUUAUGUUUAUGAGAAAUACAAAUCUAGAAUGUGGAAGUUAAGAACUGCCUGUUUAAUAAAAUCAUCUUGAAACAGAAAGAAGGCAGGAAGGGAAAAAAGAAAGAAAGAAGGAGACAGAAAAAGAGAAAGAAAACAAGGAAAGAAACUAGGAAAAGAGGAAGGCAGGAACAAAAGAAGGAAUGGAAGGAGAGAGUGAGGAAGGGAGGGGGAGAGGAAAAGAAGGAAAGAAGAAAGAAAAGUGUUAAAAAAAAGACCAAAGGAAGAAGAGAGAUGAUCUAAAAAGAAGAAAACAUUACUCUAGAGCUUCUCAAACUGGCAUCUUAUGGACCCCUAAGAAUUUGUGCAUUUUAUAUAGGGAUCCAUAAAUUUCCUAAAAUUGUAUCCAAAUUGUUCCAUUUAAUUAAUCUAUCUAUCUAAAUAUCUAUUGCUAUGGUUUGAAUGUAUCCCCCAACAGUUCAUGUGUUGGAAACUUAAUCACUAUUGUAACAAUAUUAACAGGUGGGUCUUUUAAGAGAUGAUAGGGUCACCAGGGUGGAGCUCUUGUGAAUGGAUUAAUAUCAUCAUCUAGGGUGUGAGUUCUCUUGGGAGUGAAUCAGUUUUCACGGGACUGAGUGAGUUUUCUUGAGAGUGGGUUGUAGUAAAAGCAAGCUGGCUGCCUCUGUGAUUUCCUUUGCUUGUGCUCAGCAGUUCUUCUGCUCUUCUGUCAUAAGAAAACAUAAAGAAGACCCUCACUAGAUACCUGAGUCAUGUUCUUGAACUCCCCAGCCUCCAGAACUGUAAUAAAUAAAUUUUUCUUUAUAAACUACCCAGUCUAUGAUAUUUUGUUAUAGCAACAGAAAAUAAACAAAGGCAUCUAUCAUUGUAUUACUAGAUAUAAUAUACAUAAAUUUUAUACAAACCGUAC
rnacentral:lncRNA from 1 species